AUAGCCGUGUUUCGAGUUCCUCCGGAACACCCGGGAUUUUUCGUAUUUAGCCACGCCGGUCACGUGAUAUGAGCAAAAUGUUCCACAGGGGUACUUCCGGUUAAUUUUGUUUACACUGGUAACAAAAUUGUUUUUGACAAAAUAUAGAUUUUGCGGCACAAACUGUCGCAAAUCAGAUAAAGGAUAGCAAGGGAUAUAUAUUUACUUGGGAAGAUGUCAAAGUUUACCUUUUCCCACACCCGGGAAAAGCGUUCACGCAGAGGAAACGAUGGCGUCAUUUGUGUAGAAAACCACGACCAGCCGAAAUUGAGUGCGAUUAUUACAUUCCGUGAAAGCUGAACCAACAAAGAAACAUCAUUGUUCUAGCCAGUUUCCUUAUAUUAACUUUUAGGAAAACCAAGAGGUUUGUACUGACUCUUAAAAAUAUAAUAUAGACUGUGCAAAAUCUUGUCAAUCUUAAGAAUAGGUAUACUUGUACCCUCAUCCACAUCUGAGCAGUGUAUGUAUUUUACAACGGUGUUCAUGUGACAUUAAAUAGAGAAUUUCAAUUAUGAACUUAUGGUUCAGGCUCAUAAAAAUUACGAAGCAAUUUCACAAGGGAGUGAGAGGGGGGGGGGGGGGUAUAUAUAUCUGCCAAUUAAAUAAAAUAUGAGAACACCAGAUAAUAUAUCCCUACGGAUCUAUACUAGAAUUUGCAUGAUCAUUUAUUCAAGCUCCAUACCGAUGGUUCAUUCACUGCAAAAUUUUGAAUUAUAUCAAAGAACAUUGAUCUUUUCUCCAACUUUUAAUACAAAUCAAGCACAGGCAAUAUGCAUCGCUUGGGGUACUCUUUAAUAGUAAAUUCGAACACAAGUGAUGCAUAUUGCCUGUGCAAUCAAGGUACUUUGCAUGUACAUGUACAUCAGAUAUGUACAUUUCCACUCAAACCACUUAUAUACAAGAAUGGAACCAGCUGAACAUGAGCCAGGUUAUAUAUUAUGUAUUUGCUCUCCUACCCCUUUGAUUCAGUACUGUGUAAGGAAAUAUACUAUUGAGUAUAUAUAUAUAUUUUAAAAAGAAUAACAAAGAACAACAAUUUUCAUUCAUAUUUCAUUCAACAUAUAUAUACACAGGUUGAUAACAAUGGCUGAUCUGCAUAUAAUGACUGCUAGUUAUUGGCUGGUAUGCAGUGAAAGGGAGCUAAAAAGGAGUAAAAAGUUCAUAUCAGCCAGGUAGUGUGGCUUAAAUAAACCAGUGUUAAGGAAUAUCCAGUAAUGGCAUGACAUCAUGAGAGUUUGGCAUACCGACAUUCAGAUGAUUAAUGAUGAAACUGAAGACCUCAGGUGAAAGGCAUGGAAAAUGAUCCUGUUCCCAUAUACCUGAAAAAGAGGAGGGAUGCCACAAUAUUGAUAAUAGACUUUUGUCAAUUUGAGAAGCAAAGAUGUAAAAAAACAAAAAUAAUAAUGCUGAAAUUAUAAUUCAUGUAUUUGUUAAAAAUACUGUUCACUGUACAUACAUGUAUAUUUUUUUUUAACUUAUUUGGAAAUACAUGAAGUAAUUCAUAUUAAAACUGUGAAUGUA